rnacentral:rRNA from 1 species
AUUGAACGCUGGCGGCAGGCCUAACACAUGCAAGUCGAACGAGUGGCGGACGGGUGAGUAAUGUCUGGGAAACUGCCUGAUGGAGGGGGAUAACUACUGGAAACGGUAGCUAAUAACGCAUACCAUAGGAUGUUCCCAGAUGGGAUUAGCGAGUAGGUGGGGUAACGGCUCACCUAGGCGACGAUCCCUAGCUGGUCGGAGAGGAUGACCAGCAACACUGGAACUGAGACACGGUCCAGAUCCCUACGGGAGGCAGAAUUGGGGAAUAUUGCACAAUGGGCGCAAGCCUGAUGCAGCCAUGCCGCGUGUAUGAAGAAGGCCUUCGGGUUGUAAAGUACUUUCAGCGGGGAGGCGUUACCCGCAGAAGAAGCACCGGCUAACUCCGUGCCAGCCGCCGCGGUAAUUC